rnacentral:rRNA from 1 species
CAGCAGCCGCGGGAAUACAGAGGGUGCGAGCGUUAAUCGGAUUUACUGGGCGUAAAGCGUGCGUAGGCGGCUUUUUAAGUCGGAUGUGAAAUCCCUGAGCUUAACUUAGGAAUUGCAUUCGAUACUGGGAAGCUAGAGUAUGGGAGAGGAUGGUAGAAUUCCAGGUGUAGCGGUGAAAUGCGUAGAGAUCUGGAGGAAUACCGAUGGCGAAGGCAGCCAUCUGGCCUAAUACUGACGCUGAGGUACGAAAGCAUGGGGAGCAGACAGGAUUAGAGACCCGUGUAGUCCCUGUCUCUUAUAC